ensembl:lncRNA
CGCGCAUGCGCGGGCCGCCCGCCAGCGGCUCGCACGUGCGGCCGCGCCGCACCCAUCCGCUAGGGGGCGCUGUGCCUUUCGUGAGGGAGCGGGAACGCCCUGAGGGGGUCAUCGUGUUCUGAGGGGACAUACCACCACUGAGAGGUCACUGUGCCUGAGGCGACAUGCCACCAGAGGGGUCACUGUGACUGAGGGGACAUCACACCCACGAGAGUGCACUGUGUCCUAAGGCGACAGCGCACUCCUGGGGGUUCACUGUGCCCAGAGCUACAAUCCCUCCUUAAAGGACAUUUUAGCCCGGAUGGGGCCGCAUAGUUUUCCAUCAGGAAGAGAUGAAAUCUCGUCAUCUGCUCCACCAUGUAGUUAUAAAAUAACCAGGUCUGUUGGUGGGCAUGAUGCAAAGGGAAGGCACGUGCCUGUGGUAACGGGGAGGCCCUGCAGUGACAGCUCCAUGACUCAGCCACCUCCUGUGCUGCAGCCUUACACCACAAGCACAAGACCCUCCUUCCAGGCAAUGCUUAGUGGAGAGCUCUCUGGUCCGACUGCUGGUUACUACUAAACUGUCCAGACCAGUGGAGAAAAUGCUUUGAUGUUAAUGAGCUGCAGACAAUUUCACUUAACACCAAGCAGAGCCUGGCAUCUCAGAGGUAAGACUUUCAAGGCAGGUCCUACAGCAAGUCUCUCCAACAUCCGUUUUGCCAUAAGAACAGAAAAUACUCAGAAAGACAUUUGAGCAGAAACCUGUCUUCUCACACAGUCUUGCACCACACCCAAUAUCAUUACAGCCACAGAGAUGCCAGAGGCAGGGAAGUAGUGAGAAUUAAAAACGGCCCGAUAGAAUCACAUGACCUCUGUGGGACUCAGUAGAAGCAUGAUUUACCCUCUUGCCCCAUUAAUUGCCUGCUUCUGUGGUCAUGCAGAAGGAAUACACAGCAAUGGGAAAAGGGGAUAGACUCUAAAUUGCUGAUUUUUCUGGUUCCUGUGUGGCUGGUCUUCAAGGCAACGCCAUUCUGAACGUGGCACCUUUUCCAUUGGCACAGCAGAUGUCUGAAUGAAAGGGGCCAGCUGCAGUAAAGUGAGAUGUGCACAAGCAGCCUUGGACUAUCCUCUUUCUUAAGUGGAUAUUCAGCAAAAACUUUCCUGUCAAUCUGGUCCAGGCAGCAGCACAUUGCCAAGUGCACACAAACCUCAGAGACAGGGUACAAAAGAGUCUGUGGAUGUGUUGUAGCUUCCUUGGCUUCAGUCAGCCCUUGUUGUGGGCCCUAGACCAGGAGGUUGGGUUUUCUCCCUAGAGUAAUACCUCAUGUACUGGAGAGGGUCCAGAUUAGGCAGAAUUCCUGCUGUGGAGAGAUAGUGUGGGAAACACAGAACGGUGAGAAAGAUAUCUGUCCAGUGGAAAUGUGAGGUAUCACAGUGUCAGGAAGGAAGCACUGAACCACAAGUUUGAACAAAGACAAGGGAGAAGAAAAGUACAAAUUCAAUUUUGUAACUCUCUGCCCAUUAUCGUAUCGCAUAAACUCUGUUUCUAUCCAGAAUCUGUAAACUUUUGAAUGUAGUGACCCAGUCCUCUGAGAAGUCCCAGCCAAGCAGAAGCAAACACAGACUAGGUCUGAGCAAGAAGAGUAACAAAUGAGACUUCACUGAAAGUUAAACAUUCUUCUUCUGAGGAAUGUGGCAUAAUUCCAAUAUAUUGCCUUUGUUAAAUGAUUUAUAGCAAUGAGAGAGAGAUACUAACUCUUCAGUUUUCUUGCCAGAACAGGAUUAUUCCCCGCAGAAAACUGGAUUACACAGUUAAAAUAAUGCAAGCCAAGUCCAAAUGCUUGUGCUAUGCCCACUGCAGGAAGGAGUUCACACAAAUGCAUGUGAGCCUACACUGAAAUAAAACCUAAUGAGGUAGAAAGUGACA